rnacentral:rRNA from 1 species
GAUGAACGCUGGCGGCGUGCCUAAUACAUGCAAGUCGAGCGAAUGGAUUAAGAGCUUGCUCUUAUGAAGUUAGCGGCGGACGGGUGAGUAACACGUGGGUAACCUGCCCAUAAGACUGGGAUAACUCCGGGAAACCGGGGCUAAUACCGGAUAACAUUUUGAACCGCAAGGUUAGAAAUUGAAAGGCGGCUUCGGCUGUCACUUAUGGAUGGACCCGCGUCACAUUAGCUAGUUGGUGAGGUAACGGCUCACCAAGGCAACGAUGCGUAGCCGACCUGAGAGGGUGAUCGGCCACACUGGGACUGAGACACGGCCCAGACUCCUACGGGAGGCAGCAGUAGGGAAUCUUCCGCAAUGGACGAAAGUCUGACGGAGCAACGCCGCGUGAGUGAUGAAGGCUUUCGGGUCGUAAAACUCUGUUGUUAGGGAAGAACAAGUGCUAGUUGAAUAAGCUGGCACCUUGACGGUACCUAACCAGAAAGCCACGGCUAACUACGUGCCAGCCGCCGCGGUAA